UACAGAGGGUGCAAGCGUUGUUCGGAAUUAUUGGGCGUAAAGCGCGUGUAGGCGGCAUGGCAAGUCGGGUGUGAAAGCCCUCAGCUCAACUGAGGAAGUGCGCCCGAAACUGCUUUGCUUGAGUGCUGGAGAGGGUCGCGGAAUUCCCCAAGUAGAGGUGAAAUUCGUAGAUAUGGGGAGGAACACCGGUGGCGAAGGCGGCGACCUGAGCAGUAACUGACGCUGAGACGCGAAAGCGUGGGGAGCAAACAGG
rnacentral:rRNA from 1 species